rnacentral:rRNA from 1 species
UAAACAUUGAUAUCUUUUUACACCAAUUAUCCGCCCGGGAACUACGAGCAUUAGCUUAAAACCCAAAGGACCUGGCGGUGCUUAAGACCCCCCUAGAGGAGCCUGUUCUAGAACCGAUAAUCCCCGUUCAACCUCACCCUCCCUUGUUCCUUUCAGCCUAUAUACCUCCGUCGUCAGCCCACCCUGUGAAGGACUAAUAGUGAGCAAAAUUGGCACAGCCUAAAAUGACAGGUCGAGGUGUAGCAUAUGGGAGGGGAAGAAAUGGGCUACAUUCUCUAAAUAAUAGAGCAUACGGAUAAUAUAUUGAAACAUAUAUUUCAAGGUGGAUUUAGUAGUAAGUAGGAAGUAGAGUGUCCUGCUGAACUCGGCCCUAAAGCAUGC